GCUGGUUGGAUCAGUGGCGAACGGGUGAGUAACACGUGAGCAACCUGCCCUUCACUCUGGGAUAAGCCUUGGAAACGGGGUCUAAUACCGGAUAUGACAUCCUCAUGCAUGUGGGGGUGUGGAAAGAUUUAUCGGUGGGGGAUGGGCUCGCGGCCUAUCAGCUUGUUGGUGGGGUAAUGGCCUACCAAGGCGACGACGGGUAGCCGGCCUGAGAGGGCGACCGGCCACACUGGGACUGAGACACGGCCCAGACUCCUACGGGAGGCAGCAGUGGGGAAUAUUGCACAAUGGGCGCAAGCCUGAUGCAGCGACGCCGCGUGAGGGAUGACGGCCUUCGGGUUGUAAACCUCUUUCAGCAGGGAAGAAGCGAAAGUGACGGUACCUGCAGAAGAAGCGCCGGCUAACUACGUGCCAGCAGCCGCGGUGAUACGUAGGGCGCAAGCGUUGUCCGGAAUUAUUGGGCGUAAAGAGCUCGUAGGCGGUCAGUCGCGUCUGCUGUGAAAACUCGAGGCUCAACCUCGGGCUUGCAGUGGGUACGGGCUGACUAGAGUGCGGUAGGGGUGACUGGAAUUCCUGGUGUAGCGGUGGAAUGCGCAGAUAUCAGGAGGAACACCGAUGGCGAAGGCAGGUCACUGGGCCGCAACUGACGCUGAGGAGCGAAAGCAUGGGGAGCGAACAGGAUUAGAUACCCUGGUAGUCCAUGCCGUAAACGUUGGGCACUAGGUGUGGGGUCCAUUCCACGGAUUCCGUGCCGCAGCUAACGCAUUAAGUGCCCCGCCUGGGGAGUACGGCCGCAAGGCUAAAACU
rnacentral:rRNA from 1 species